AUGUCAUUGUUCACUUCUUACCAGGUCACAGGCCACGGGUCCGUAUUGAUGGGGAAUGACGCGAGUGCUUCUGUUCAUGGUGUUGGCACGGUCGAUCUGAAGUUUACUUCGGGAAGGAUCGUGCAGCUGAAGAACGUGCAGCAUGUCCCCGCCAUCAAGAAGAACCUCGUUAGUGGCUCCCUUCUAUGUAGAGAAGGGUUUAAGUUGGUUUUCGAGUCUAAUAAAUUAGUUGUUACGAAAUAUGGACUCUUUGUUGGAAAAGGUUAUGAGAGCGGAGGGAUGUUCCACCUUUCCCUCGCAGAUUUUUGUAAUAAAGUCGUGAACCAUGUUCAUUCGAAUGUUAAUGAAUCUGAGGUUUGGCAUUCACGUCUUUGUCACAUUAGUUUCGGUGUUAUGACGCGGCUAGCCAAGUUGGAUUUAAUCCCGAGUUUUACUUUAGCCAAAGGCUCUAAGUGCCUUUCAUGUGUGCAAGCUAAGCAACCUCGCAAGCCUCACAAGGCCGCGGAGGAGAGACACUUGGCACCAUUAGAACUCAUACAUUCUGAUCUUUGUGAGAUGAAUGGUGUGUUGACUAAAGGUGGAAAGAAAUACUUCAUGACAUUGAUAGAUGAUUCCUCUAGAUAUUGCUAUGUGUACCUGUUAAAUACUAAAGAUGAGGCUCUACACUACUUUAAAAUCUAUAAGGCAGAAGUUGAGAAUCAACUUGAAAAGAAAAUUAAACGAGUCCGGUCAGAUUGUGGUGGAGAGUACUUCUCGAGUGAGUUUGAUUCCUUCUGUGCGGAACACGGCAUUAUUCAUGAGAGGACGCCUCCCUAUUCACCCCAGUCAAACGGGGUUGCCGAGCGGAAAAACCGUACUCUAACUGAUUUGGUUAACGCCAUGUUAGAUACAUCGGGUUUAUCCAAGGCAUGGUGGGGGGAGGCUAUAUUGACGGCAUGUCAUGUCCUGAAUAAAGUUCCGACAAAGGAUAAUGAGAUCACUCCCUAUGAGAAAUGGGCAAAGAGGAGGACAACACUCUCGUACUUGCGCACUUGGGGCUGUCUGGCGAAAGUCAAUGUGCCGAUCCCCAAAAAGCGUAAGCUUGGACCCAAGACUGUGGACUGCGUUAAUUUGGGCUACGCUAAGAACAGCGUUGGCUAUAGAUUUCUAGUAGUGAAAUCUGAGGUACCUGACCAGAAGGUCGGUACAAUUAUGGAGUCUAACGAUGCUACAUUCUUCGAGGAUACUUUUCCUAUGAGAGAUAUGCAAAGCACUUCUAGACAGGAAUCUGAGGAGACUCCUGAACCUGCCAUCCCUAUGGAAUAUUAUGAACAAACACAUGAUGAAAAUCCUGAGGAGGAUGACGAGGAAACCCUUGGUAGGGGCAAGAGACAAAGGACUGCAAAGACCUUUGGUGAUGAUUUCUUCGUGUACCUCGUGGAUGAUACUCCCACUUCUAUUUCAGAAGCGUAUGCCUCUUCAGAAGCUGACUACUGGAAGGAUGCGGUUCGUAAUGAGAUGGAUUCCAUCAUGGCUAACGGGACAUGGGAGAUCACUGAACGUCCCUAUGGUUGCAAACCAUUAGGAUGUAAGUGGGUGUUCAAGAAGAAGCUUAGGCCCGAUGGUACAAUUGAAAAGUACAAGGCUAGGCUUGUGGCCAAGGGCUAUGACCAGAAAGAAGAGGAAGAUUACUUCGACACUUAUUCACCUGUAGCUAGACUGACCACCAUUCGAGUAUUACUCUCGUUGGCAGCCUCGCAUGGUCUUCUCGUCCACCAGAUGGAUGUUAAGACGGCUUUUCUGAAUGGAGAGCUAAAAGAGGAAAUCUACAUGCAACAGCCAGAUGGCUUUGUGAUAGAUGGUCAGGAAAGAAAGGUGUGUAGGUUGCUGAAAUCUUUAUAUGGCCUGAAGCAAGCACCUAAGCAAUGGCAUGAUAAGUUUAAUAUAACUCUGACAUCUGUUGGUUUCGUUGUUAAUGAGGCUGACAAAUGUGUAUACUAUCGCCAUGGUGGGGGUGAAGGAGUUAUACUGUGCUUGUAUGUUGAUGACAUACUGAUAUUCGGAACCAACCUCAAAGUCAUUGAGGAGGUCAAGUCGUUUUUGUCUCAGAACUUUGAGAUGAAAGACCUUGGUGUGGCUGAUGUUAUCUUGAACAUCAAGCUACUGAGAGAUAAUGAGGGUGGGAUUACACUUCUGCAAUCCCACUAUGUUGAGAAGGUGUUGAGUCGUUUUGGAUAUUCGGAUUGCACACCAUCUCAAACACCAUAUGAUCCUAGCGUGUUGAUUCGAAAGUCCAAAGGCACGGCUAUAGAUCAGUUGAGAUACUCUCAAAUCAUUGGUUCACUGAUGUACCUAGCGAGCGCAACGAGGCCCGACAUCGCGUUUGCUGUGAGCAAACUGAGCCGGUUUGUUUCCAAACCGGGUGAUGUACAUUGGCAUGCUGUUGAACGAGUCAUGCGCUAUCUGAAAGGUACUAUGAACUAUGGACUUCACUAUACCGGAGACCCGUCGGUACUUGAAGGGUAUAGUGAUGCAAAUUGA
rnacentral:rRNA from 1 species